UUGCAAUAGGAUGCUAACUGUAAGUUUGGCUGUUCAAACCCACACAGUGGCUCCAUGGGAGAAAGGACUAAUAAUCUACUUCUCUAAAGAUUACAGCCAAGAAAACCUCAUGAAGCAGUUUUAUUCUUUGACAUAUGGGGUUGCCAUGAGUCAGAAUCCAUUCAAUGGCAGCAGGUUUGGUUUUUUGUGUUUAUUGUACACACAGGAGCCUGGAUGGUGCUCGCGGUUUAUGAUUGACUGCUAACUCAAAGGCUGGCUGUUCGAACCCGUCCAGCAGCUCCACAGAAGAAAAGGCCUCACAAACUACUUCCAUAAAGAUUACAGUCAAGAAAGCCUUACGGAGCAGUUCUAUAACACAUGGAGUCACUAUGAGUCAGGACCCAACUGGAUGGCAGCCAACAACAUCAACAAUAAUAUACACACAAGGCUUGCCUUCUUAUAAAUAAAAGGCUGUAGUGCUAAUUCUAGUUUAAUGAAUUACAAUAUUGCUUACAAGUACUAGAUGCUCCUUCUUUGAGGUGAACCAUACUUCCUUUCUCCGUCAGUAUCUGACUUGACCAGAGGAUUUGGUUUGGUGUGGGACGUAAGCGGAAAUGACUUUUAGCAGAAACUUGAAAAUCAAACGCAUGUGUGUUGGUCAUGCUCUGUUCCCUUUGCCAAAGCUAUCAACGUUCCAGAUAGAAGCUGUUCUAUCAGACUGGCUCCCAGAGUGAAGAAGACACAGAAGGGUGUAUUAAUGAAUCUGUAAUGGAUGUGUAGCAUGAGUAAGAAAUAAGUAUUUGUUGUUAAAAAAAAAGACAGUAAAUUGAGGGUCAUUUGUCAUCAGAGUAUAAUCUAGCCUAUCCUGACUGAUAAGGAAAUAGGUACCUAAAAGUAGAGGGAUGCUAUAAAAACAAUAACAAAAACAACAAUGAAACAUAAAACAUGAGGCAUACAGGAACAGGCAGAAGAUGGCAAGGGAACUGGUAUCUGGGUCUAAAAGAACACACAUCCAUAUUACGCAGUGGUAAAGCAGCUGGCAAUGUCAUCUGCGAUAACUCUGAAGGCAGAUAUUUUGUCAAAUGAGCUUGCAUGUUUAGACAAGGACACGGGAAAGUCGAAUGUGCAGAGAUGAAAAUGAAAUUGAUUCUCAUUUCUAACUGUUAAAAAGAUAAAACUGAGAAGGUAUCGGGGUUAAAGACAGUCAAUUAAAACUUUGCUUCAUUGCAAGGACCAAAUCAAGAGUCAGCCUUUUGUUAGAAUCUCUGGAUAUACUUAAUUUUCUGGAUAUACUUAAUUUGGUAUCCAUAAACUUUCAGGUGAACAAAAUGGCUAAGAGAGAAGAAACUAAGGCAGUGGCUUUCCAUCAGAAGCCUGUUAGGCUCAAAGUACCUAAAAGUAAAUUUAGAGAUUGACGUUUGUCUAAAAAAGAAAUUGUAGGUGUGGUUAUUGGCACAUGUUGUGAUUGCAAACGACUAGUUAAAAAGGGAAUUUUUUAGACUAAGAUUUCCCCUUUUCAAAAAAGGAAGUGUUUAUUUUAGUAAUCCUUUCACUGCUCCUCCGUUAUACACUGGGCAUGGAGGCGGUAGCUAACUAUCUUGUCUUUUCUCUUACAUGGGACUAUGGAAGAAGAGGAGCCAUGGCAAAUGAUAUUCUAAAAGAAUGCAUAUUGGCAUUUGAGUCAAAUCUUCCAAGGGCAAAGAGAAGUUAUCAUCCUAAAAUCCAAUAGGCGGAAGUAAAUUGUUACCUGUCUCAGUACAUAAAUCACCCGAGUCUGGACCAAACUGCAAUGGACCAAUCUUACCUGGUAUUACAAUAAUAAGUUAAAUCAAAAGGGAAAGGUCAUAGAAUUUGAACUUAAUAAUAAAGUAAAUAUAUUACAAAAAUUAGUACCAAUUUAAAAAAUGUGAAAGAUAGUCUCCAGGCUUCUUCUAGAGUUAGAGUACCCCUACUUGGAAGUCUUUGUAAUCUUGUCAUAUCCAAAUGGUUGUCAUUAUCUUCCUAGUUAGUCCUAAACUAUUGGUGAGCAUGGCAGAUACCAACAAAUUCUUUCAUUAUGCCUUGGAUAAUAGUCAUAUGUAAAGAUAUAAUAGAUUUAAAAAGGAUUUUGCCCAUCUGUUCCCAAAUGAUACAAAUAAUAAGGGAAGAAAAUAAAAUCAUGGCUGUGAAUUCACUGUAUUGCAAAAAAAAUAAAUAAAUAAGGCUGGUGAGGGUAUAAUGAACCUGGCAAUAUGUUAUAGACUGAAUUGUGUCUCCCCAAAACCUGUGUUAUAAUCCCUAACCCCUAUAGUUCUGGAAAGGAGCCCUGGUGGCACAGUGGUUAAGUGCUUAGCUGCUAACCAGGUCGGUGGUUUGAGCACACCAGCCACUCCACAGGGGAAAGAUGUGGCAGUCUGCUUUCAUAAAGAUUUAUAGCCUUGGAAACCCUACGGGUGCAGUUCUACUCUGUCUGAUAGGGUCACUAUGAGUCAGAAUCGACUCAACAGCAAGGUUUUUUGUUUUUUUUUAUACUUGUGGAUGUAAUGCCAUUUGAGAAUGGGGUUUUCUUUAUUAUGUUAAUGAGGCCAUACCAGUGCAGGGUGGGUCUUAAGCCAAUCAUUUUUGAGAUAUAAGCCAAGCUGAUAAUGCAGAGAGAAGCAAGCAGAGAUGAAGAUAGAUGCCACACCUCAUGGAGAUCUCCAAGGAAUGAGAAAACAGGAGCUGAAGAGACAAGGACUUUCCCCCAGAGCUGCUACAGAGCAAAAGCCUUCCCCUAGAGCCAGCAUCCUUAUUUUGAACUUUUAGCCUUCUAAAACUGUGAGAAAAUAAAUUUGUUUGUUAAGGCCACCCACUUGUGGUAUUUCUGUUAGAGCAGCUCUAGAUAACUAAGACAUAAACUCAUAGUUAAUAUACUGCCUAGUCACAGCAAAUAUUAACAAUGCCACACUGGAAGACAGUGGCAUUGUAUGUUUUCAAGGGACCCCAAAACAAUCAUAUUCCUAGAUUAAUAAUUAGAUCUUUAGGAACCUAUCAUGAGGGAACCAACCCCAAAAUAAUAACAAAGACCAUAAAAACUCUAUAUAAUACAUUCCAAGUUGUUUUAUAAGAAGCAAAAUAGGAAACAACCAGCAAUAUGAGAAUGGCUACAUAAUUAUUGUGUCUUCAUAGGAUAGAAUAUUAUGGAGCUAUUAAAAUAGUAGUUAUGAAGGCCAUGCCAUAACAUCAAAAAUAUAUAUAGUAAAAUUCUAAGCAAAAAAUAAAGGUACAAAAUUAUAUGCACAUUAUGAAUAAAACUGCAAAACAAAAUGAAAACAAGACAAAGAAAAAAACUGUACAUGGUUUCACACACCUGCUAGGAGUUCCCUUUUGGAGCCCCUUAGUUUCAAAAGCCUUAGAAAUGGUCAUAUCCUUCGAUUGAGUAACUUAACAUCUGAAACUGUAUCUUAAGAAAAUUAUCUACAAUGCAGAAAAAAGUGUAGGAAGAAGGAUUUUUUAUUAUAGCACUGAAGCAUUUUUUAAAUUUGGAAACAACUGGAACAGCCUAAAUGCCUAAGAAAAAUAAAGAACAAAUGGUUAAAUUAUAGCUUGUCUGUAUGCAGAGUAUUAUGCAGCCAUUUAGAAUGGAAGAUUUGAAUGGCAAAGAGAAAUUCAUAAAUUUAAGAGAAAAAGCAGUGUUCAUUUAUAUAUAUAUAUCUGUAACAAUAUUAACUAAAACCAAACCCAAUGCCAUCAAGAUGAUCCCAACUCAUGAUUUAAAACUGUAGAGAAAGAGGAAAAUACAGCGAAAUUUAACAGUGGUUAGUUCAGAAUCGUCAAAUUCUUAAUGCUUUUCAUCUUCUUUCUUAUGUUUUUCUAUAUUUUCAAGUUGUAUAUAAUACGCAUUGUUGUUGUUAGUUGCCAUUGAGUUGAUUCCCACUCAUGGCAACUCCAUGGGUACAGAGCAGAACUGCACCAUAGAGUUUUCAAGGCUGUGACCUUUUGGAAUCAGAUCACCAAACCUGUUUCUAGGCACCUCUGGGUGGUAUUAAGCUGCUAACCUUUCAGCUAGUAGUCAAAUGCUUAACUGUGCUACCCAGUGAUUCCCAUAAUAACCAUGUUGUUGUUGUUGUUAGGUGCCAUCGAGUCGGUUCCGACUCAUAGCGACCCUAUGCACAACAGAACGAAACACUGCCCAGUCCUGAGCCAUCCUUACAAUCCUUGUUACACUUGACUUCAUUGUUGCAGCCACUGUGUCAAUCCACCUCCUUGAGGGUCUUCCUCUUUUCUGCUGACCCUGUACUCUGCCAAGCAUGAUGUCCCUCUCCAGGGACUGAUCCCUCCUGACAACAUGUCCAAAUUAUGUAAGAUGCAGUCUCACCAUCCUUGCCUCUAAGGAGCAUUCUGGCUGCACUUCUUCCAAGACAGAUUUGUUCGUUCUUUUGACAGUCCAUGGUAUAUUCAAUAUUCUUCACCAACACCACAAUUCAAAGGCAUCAACUCUUCUUCGGUCUUCCUUAUUCAUUGUCCAGCUUUCACAUGCACAUGAUGCGACUGAAAAUACCAUGGCUUGGGUCAGGCGCACCUUAGUCAUCAGGGUGACAUCUUUGCUCUUCAACACUUUGAAGAGGUCCUUUGCAGCAGAUUUGCCUAAUGCAAUGCGUCUUUUGACUUCUUGACUGUUGCUUCCAUGGCUGUUGCUUGUGGAUCCAAGUAAAAUGAAAUCCUUGACAACUUCAAAUAAUAAGCAUAGUGAGCAUGUAUUAUUUUUAUAAUCAGAAAAAUCAUAAAGGCCUACAAGGGGAAAAAGAAAAUAUCUAUAUUGGCAAGUAACUGCGUUAAGGUGAUUGAUAGAGGGUUGAGUGCUUGUUUUUUUCUUGUUUCCACAUUUCACAGAAUGCUGUUGUUGGGUGCCAUCGAGUUGAUUCUGACCCAUAGAGACCCCUUGUAACAGAGUAGAACUGCUCUCAUAGGGUUUUCUAGGCUGUAAUCUUUACAGAACAUAUUGCCAGGUCUUUCUCCUACAGAACCGCUGGGUGGGUUCAAACUUUCAAUUAGCAGCUGAGCACUUAACCGUUGGCCAUCAGGGCUCUUUCAAAAACUAUCAUUUUUACUCAGAUGAUCUAUAUCAUGCUUUAUUUGCUCUCUGGUAAGAUUGGGCACUAAUCAUAAUAUGUUACACUUUUGUCAAGAUUUACAGGUUGUAAAAUACUUUACUUGUAUUCAUUCAAUACUUACACCACCCGUGUGAGGCUGAUAUUGUUAUCAUGUUUCGGUUGCAGAAAUUAAAACUCAGAGGUUAAGUGAGACUGUCCAAAUCAUGCAGCAGAAAUGUAACUGAGCAAACCUUAGACCCAGUGGCUCUGCUUCCAAAUAUUAUACUCCGUCAGUUUCCGUGGAACAUUUAUAGCAAUUCUUAUCAGGAAUGAUAUAGCACUAUGUCACUGCAAACACGAUACAAAUCCUUUAAGCAUCUAAGACAUUUACUGGGAGACAUCGACUUUUAUUUGCUUUAUACCUUCUCUUUCCACUGUCCUAACAGUGAUUAAUUUUUUAGGACUUAGGCUUUGGUGUUUCAGUCAGUGCUUUUCAAACACAUCUCCAAUUCUUUGAUAUGUUCAACUAAUUAAGCAGUGAUGACGACUUUGCAUGAAGUAUUUUUUUAAUUAGCCACAGUGAUUCCCAGAUUAUUCAGCCUGGGCUCAGGACCCUUAAUAUUCAAACUGUCAAGCUAACGCAUGUAAACUCUUUAUUUAAAUAGUGAUAUCUGAGAUUAGGAAAUCCUGGUAGUGGUUAAGUGCUACAACUCCUAACCAAAAGGUCGGCAGUUUGAAUCCACCAGGCGCACCUUGGAAACUCUAUGGGGCAGUUCUAUUCUGUCCCAUAGGGUUGCUAUGAGUUGGAAUCCACUCAAUGACAAUGGGUUUGGUGUUUGUUUUUUAUCUGAGAUUAAGCUCAAUAAAGGUUUCUAUGGAAACUAAGUAUUAAAAGUAAAGAUGCCACUUUGAGGACUAAGGUGCACCUGACCCAAGCCAUGGUAUUUUCAAUUGUCUCAUGUGCAUGCAAAAUCUGGACAAUGAAUAAGGAAGACUGAAGAAUUGAUGUCUUUGAAUUAUGGUGUUGGUGAAGAAUGUUGAAUAUACCAUGAACUGCCUGAAGAACAAAUAUAUUUGUUUUGAAAGAAGUACAGCCAGAAUGUUCCUUAGAAGCAAGGGCGGUGAGACUUCACCUCAGGUAUUUUGGAUAUGUUAUUAGGAGGGGCCAGUCUCUGGAGAAGGAUAUCAUGAUUGGUAAAGUAGAGGGUCAGUGAAAGAGGAAGAUCCUCAAUGUGAUGGAUAGACACAGUGGCUGCAACAAUGAGCUCAAACAUAGCAAUGAUUAUGAGGAUGGUGCAGGACCCACCAGUGUUUUGUUCUGUUGUCCAUAGGGUCACUACAAGUCAGAAACAACUGAAUGGCACCUAACAACAACAACAUAGAAACUAACUACAGUAUCAAAACUUUCCAAAACAGGAGAAGUGACCCAAUUAGAAGAGGUAAAAAUGAGUGAUAGAAACAGUAGCCAUCAAUGAUAUGGAAAAGUUAAUUACACUUCCUUACACUAAUUCUCAUAAAUAUGCCUGUGUGUUCAUUAGAAGACUAGGAAAUUUAUUUGAUAUUAAAGUUUCUCAACUGGAUCAGAAUGAUACAUGAAGUAAAAAUGUUUGUUGUUCUGUGAUAACACUGAGGUUAAUUUCACAGAAAUGCAGAGAUUAAAAUUGAAAAGCCAGGUAAGUUUACAUGAAUAUAUACACAGAUAGAUAAUAUAGAUAAUGUCUGUGAAAGAUAAAAUUCUAGGAUCUCUGUGGCAUUAAAGAUCAAUAAGCUCUAUGAAUUAAUCUCAAAUAGAAAAGUUAACAUCAAUGUCUACCUUCCUUAGAACUAAGAACAAAGGGGAAUAUUUGCCAGAGUUGACCCUAGAAUGAAAUGCAAACACAGAUAUGUUUAUUAAAGGGUGCAAUCACAUAAGAAGAUCUUAAAAAUAGCUUUAAUAUCCAAGCAUAAAUAAGAACAAUUUGCAAACCGUUAUUUCCUGUUGCGAACAUUAACUGUCAAGUUUCAACCUUGACAUUGGUAUGUAUUAUGGCAAUUGAAAACUCAAAAUAUCAGCAGAUAUGGCUGAAGAGGUCUAACUUUUGUUCUAUUGAGAGCCCAGGUCACAAGAUAUUUUCCUAGAAUCCCUCCCAUAAAGAUGUUCCAGCAUGUUUAAUAAGCAGGUAUACAAUGAUAAAGUGACAUAUAUAGUUGGUUCACUGAAACUUAACUUGUCUAAAACAAGCUCCUGACUUCCUCAACCUACUUUUCCUAAAGUUGUCCCCAUCUCAGUCAUUGGGGAUACCAUCUUUCUAGUUGCUAGGUCAGAGUCAUUCUUGACAAUUUUCUCAGCAUACCAUCUCAGGUCUCGUUCAAAAUGCCUUCAGAAUCCAUCAUGUCUCUCCAUCUUGCUUGCCACCACCAUGGCCCAAACCACCACACUGUCUCACCUGCAUUAUGGUAGCGGUACCCUCACUGGUCUCCUUACUUCUGCCCUUUCCCCCUUCUGCCAAUGCUUAAACACUGCAGCAAAAGUGAUUCUGCUAAAAAAAAAAAUAAGGCUGAUCAUGUUUCUGUACUGCUUGAACUUCGGACUGGCUUCCCAUUCCACUUAGAACAAAAGCAAAAGUUCUUGCAAUGGCCUGUUAAUAUCCUGCAUGAUCUGGUUCCCUGUGUGCUUCUUUGACCUGUCUCCUUCAUACUACAUGCUACAUACUUCUACGUAUUCACUGGAUCCUGCUACCCUGGCCUCCUUACUGUUCUUCCACGAAGCCAGGCAUGUCCACGUUUCUUUCCAUUUGCUGUUCCCUCUCCUUGGAGAAGGACAUCAAGCUUGGUAGAGGAGAGGGUCAGUGAAAAAGAGGAAAACACUCUAGGAGAUGGACUGACACAGUGGCUGCCACAAUGGGCUCAAGUGUAACAAUGAUUGGGAGGAUGGUGCAGGACGGGCAGUGUUUCGUUCUGUUGUGCAUGGAGUUGCUAUGAGUCAGAACAAACUCAAUGGCACCUAACAACAAUAUAACAUAACUGCUUGGAAAGCCCUUCCAUAUUGUUUGCAUGGCUCAUUCUCUUAUAGCCUUUGAAUCAUUAAUCAUAUGUCAUCUUCUUAGUGAUAACUUUCUCUGGCUAUCUUUUUCAAAACUGCAAACCCUCUGUCCCAUCACUCCCUACCCCCAUUCCUUACUUUUCUUUCUCCAUAGCACUUCUGACCAUUUAUCUGAGAAUCCAAAAAAAACCCAGUGCCAUCAAGUCGAUUCAUACAUUUCUCUUAUUCUGUUUGUCUGUUUACUGUCUGUUUCCCUGAACUGAACUAUAAGGUCAUUGAGACCAUAGUUUUUUUCUUCUUUUGCUUUGUGUUUUAUUUCCACUCUCAAGAACAAAGCUUUACACAUAGUAGGCACUCCACAAAUAUUGUUGAAUGUUGAAUGAAGAAACUAUAAUUCCAUUUUAACUAUAAUAAACAACAACAAAAGAGUUGCCAUCAAGUCAAUUCUAACUCAAGGCACCAUGUGCCUAUUUAAAAAAUAACAUACUAUUAAGCAUUAAAAAUAAUAGCUUUUAGUUCCUCUUUAAAAAAAAAAAGUUAAAUCUCCAACACUAAAAGGUGAUAUAAAUAAAUUGAUUAAUCAGCUAAUGAGAAUUGACUGGGUUCCCUAUGAUCAGUUUUUUUCAGGGUGCUGAGACAGAUGCAAGGGCUUUCUGUAUUCAAAGUUCUUAUAGUUUAAGAAAGAAAACAGUGUUCCUUAAGACAUAAUUGGAGAACGAUAAAUAACAACAUAUUAACCAAAUUUAAGUCCAAAAGUCAUUAGAUGUUGUGGUAUUUAGGAGAUAUGGUUCUAAUAAUGUUGCUGCCAUUAGCUGUGCGAAACUAAGGAAACAGUUAACUCACAUCAGCCUUCAACAUAUUUAUUAUGCAAAUAAGGAGAAUGUACUAGACGGUGUAUUGGUUCACUGGCAUUCUACUAAUUUGGAGACAAGAGCACUCAGUAGAGAUAUAUAUGUGGCAGAGACAUGUUAGCUGUUAGCACUUUUCCUCCUGGCUCUUAGCUAGGUUAGAUUUCUCAGCCUCCUUGAAAGCCACACUGAGAAAGUGCUAAAAAUCCUGAUUGAAAAUAGGUCUACAUCAAUUUCCCACUGAUCUCCACUGAACUUUACCAAGUAAGAUAUAUAUUACUAUAUUUAAUUAUUAAUAUCUUAAGGCAUUUUCUAAAACCAAAAUUUAAAUGUAAUUGAAACUAGAAAUAUUUUUAGGUAAUUAGUCAUAUUCUUACGCUAUCUUGUAACAGCUCAUUGCCCUCUGGUGUUAUCUGUCUAUUUCAUAUGAGUCAAUUCCAACUCAUAGUGCCCAUACAGUACAGAGUAGAACUGCCCCAUAUGGUUUCCAAGGAGUGCCUGGUGGAUUUGAACUGCUGACUUUUUGGUUAGCAGCUGUAACACUUACCCACUAACCCACCAGGGUUUCCAUGUGUGAUAGGUUUUGGUUUUUCCAAAGAGACCACGAGUCCCACUAGGUCAGCAGUCACGACUUAAAUCCUUCUGUGUUCCUUCCUUUGCUGCAUACAGUGUUUGAUACAUGGAUGCUAUGGAAAUGGAUGUGUUCUAGACCUUCAUAGAGAAUGCCUGUUUAACCUCAUUAUAGGAAAUAGGUGUCACACCACUGCUGUACAAUACUAAUUAGAUCCUGGGUAGAGCCUUCAAUGUUACGUUUUCAACCCGAUAUGGAAAACUUGCUUUGAACGGUACUAUGAUAGGCCAAAAGGAGUCCUGGUGAGUCAAUGGUCUAUCUUUGCAGCAUAGACAAUAUUGAAGUCUCUAUGCACUAAAAAAAUUUCUAAAAGUUACAGUGUUAAGAAGCCUGUUUUAUGCUCGUUACUGGGAAAAUGAAUAGGGUAUCCUGUGGGGGUUCACCAGACCACUGAAGUACCUGGAAGGAAGUGCUACCCUUUCCUGACAUGGCUACAGAGAGCUGCGCAUGGGAAGUGUCUGUCCAAAUGGAAACCUUAAUUUGGGUUUACAGAUGAGGAUACAAAGUUUCUUACCACCUAUGCUCACAUACAUCCAUACUGAUGGUGUGGCUGAGGGUGUUCCAUGUGGAAGCAAGUCACAGAGAAGAAAAAGGAAUCAACCAUCACUGCUGCAGCACUUUGGUUAACAUCUCCUAAGCAUGCUUGCAAUAAAACCGCUUCCCUCUGACUAGAAUAAUACAUACCUGAAUUCUAUAAUCUCUUCUUAUCACUUACUCCCCCAUGGAUCAAAACAUUCUUUCUAGAAUAUAUGAACAUGAACCCCCGGGGCAAAACAUACUUUCACCUUCAUGUAGCUAUUUUAUAAAUCAAGAUGACGAUCUAGUGUCUCUGGGUCUCCAGCCCUGACACCAUCCACUCCCAUUCAACAAGCUGGAGAGGGACUGGAGGAGACAACCAAAUUUCUGAGCUAUUAUUUUGUGAACACAAGUUACCUGUACAGAUUCUUUUAAAGUUGGGAUUUUCCAGAAGGUGUCCUGGUAGGCGGCACUGGAACCGAUGUUGCCAGAAUUCAGGGAACCAUGGAUUCCUUGUAUUAGUGUCCAGCCUCAGUUUCAGGAAAUAAUCAUCAAAUGACCUGACCUCUGGAGACUGCAGCUUUAUGGUGAUUCCCCCGUUGGCUUCCACCUCAUAACCUUCAAUGACUUCAUCUCUGUCUGCCCAUCCAUCACUAAAAAAUGCAGGGAUCGGGGUAGGAAGAGAGAAAGACAAACGUCUCACAAAUAGAGCUCACAAUUAUGUAUGAACGAAGCAGUUCAAUACAGCCUAAAGUCUACGUUAAGCCGGUAUUACUAUCCAUCGAGAUUUUUGAUAGAGUAGAAAGUUGUGAAACCAAAAUGCCCUGGGUUUUAUUUUAUGUUUGUUUUCCUGUUUAUUUAAUUUUCACAAUAAUGAAAGUGAUGAUGAAGAUGAUGAUGAUGCUGACAGUAGCAAUUACAACUAACAUUUAUUGAGCACUUACUAGUCAUCAGAUUCUCUGCUAAACACUUUGCAUUCAUUGUCUUAUUUAAUCCUUACACUAACCUUAUGAGGCAUACUAAUAUAAUUUCCUUUUUACACAUACCUAGGAACAGGGAGGUUAAUUAAUUUGUCCUGGGCAUAAAACUAGUGAGUGGAUGCCUACUUGCUUCCAAAGCACUUAAGCACUACGCCUACUACUUAUUUAAUAUCCAAAAAUGUUGCCAAAGGCCCCUGUCUUCGGAUGAUUCCCUGGAAAAUAGACUUUGAGAUGGAUGAUAUGCGUGCAAGUAGUUUAUUGGGGAGAUCUCUUGGGAACGACUCCUGUGAGGGAGGAGGGUGAGACACGGAUUGGAUAGAUGGAGAAACCAAAAUGUGCUGCAGUUGCAACAGAGGCUUCAACUCAUCCUAAGAAAAGCUCUGGAGCUGGGAUGGUCCUUCAGAGUUCUCCCAAAUUUGAGACAGGAGUCAGGUCUUGUAUCCUCCCUUCAGCCAGUCAUUGAACGUGAGCUAUCCCGGGGACAGCUUUUUUGAGGUAUAACCUCAAAAGAGGCAAGCUCCCUUGGACUGAAAGAACUCCUAGUGACAGACCCUGCUGAAAGCUGACAAAUGCCAACAAUCCAGACAGCUGGGAGGAAUGAGUGUUAUCUGAGGGGAGAUCUCGGGGGUGGGGUCCACCACUGCAUCUGCUACACCCAUCUCAGUAGUUGGAUAGACCGCUGAACUGCUGAGAUGAUGUGUAUAAGUGAAACUAGUCAAACAGUGUUGUCCUUUUUCCUCCUUUUUACACAGACAGAUUGGAAACACAAUGGGAGCUAGCAACUGCAAUUGGUAUUAGGCAAGGAGAACUCAGGGAUGCACUUGACCAAAGAAAACAUCAUUGUCAGUAAAAUAGUUUUAGGUUGUUUAAGUUCAGGAAGAAUUAUUAAUUUCAGAAUUAAAUCAUUUAUCAUGGCAAUGAAAUAAAGAGUUUGACUAGUAUAUUGUUGGUAGUACUCUGUCUUCAUUCAAAAGCAGCUACAGCAGUGCAUCAACAGGGAACCGCCAGAAAUUCAAGCCAGAUUCAGCAGAGGAUGUAGAAUGAGGGAUGUGAUUGCUGAUGUCAGAUGGAUCCUGGCUGAAAGUAGAGAAUACAAGAAAGAUGUUUACUUGUGUUUUAUUGAGUAUGCAAAGGCAUUUGACUGUGCAGAUCAUAACAAAUUAUGAAUAACAUUGCGAAGAAUGGAAAUUCCCGAACAUUUCAUUGUGCUCAUGAGGGACCUGUACAUGGAUCAAGAGGCAGUCAUUCGAACAGAACAAGGGGAUACUGCAUCGUUUAAAGUCAGGAAAGGUAUGCGUCAGGGGUGUAUUCUUUCACUAUAUGUAUUCAAUCUGUAUACUGAGCAAAUAAUCCAAGAAGCUGGCCUAUGUGAAGAAGAACAGGGCAUCAGGAUUGGAGAAAGACUCAUUAACAACUUGCAUUAUGCAGGUGACACAACCUUGCUUGCUGAAAGUGAAGGGGACUUGAAGCACUUACUGAUGAAGAUCAAAGACCACAGCCUUCAGUACAGAUUACACCUGAACAUAGGAAACAAUGUAAAGAAAACAAAAAUCCUCACAACUGGACUAAUAAGCAACAUCAUGAUAAAUGGAGAAAACACUGAUGUAGUCAAGGACUUCAUUUUAUUGGAUGCACAAUCAACAGCCAUCCAAGCAGCAGCCAAGAAAUCAAAAGAUGCAUUGCAUUGGGCAAAUCUGCUGCAAAAGACCUCCUUAAAGUGUUAAAAGGCAAAGAUGUCACUUUGAACACAAAGGUGCACCUGACCCAAGUUAUGGCGUUUUCAAUCACCUCAUAUGCAUGUGAAAGCUGGAAAAUGAAUAAGGAAGAUGGAAGAAGAAUUGAUGCCUUUGAAUUAUGGUGUUGGCAAAGAAUACAGAAGAUACGAUGGGCUGCCAGAAGAGUGAACAAAUCUGUCUUAGAAGAAGUACAGCCAAAAUGCUCCGUAGAAACAAGGAUGAGAAGACUUCAUCUCUCAUACUUUGGACAUGUUAUCAGGAGGGACCAGUCCCUGGAAAAGGACAUCAUGCUUGGUAAAGUAGAGGAUCAGUAAAAAAGAGAAAGACCCUUGAUGAGAUGGACUGACACAGUGGCUUCAACAAUUGGCUUAGACAUAGCAACAGUUUAAGGAUGGUGCAGAACAGGGCAAUGUUUCGUUCUGUCAUACAAAAGGUUGUUAUGAGUCAGAACCAACUUGACGGCACCUAACAGUAAAAGCAACACAAGUACUCAAUAAAUAUUUGUGGAAAGAAUGAAUAUAAAUCAGUAAUUUAAUCAGAAUAGCUAUCAUUUACUGAGGGUUUACUAUGUGUUUUCUAUUUAAACCUCAUAACAGUACUAUUUUUAUUUCAAUCUUACAAAUGAGGAAACUGAGAUGGGAGAUAUUCAACAACUAGCUGAGGUCCUGGUGGGCCCAGAAUGUGGAUCCAGCAGUCUGGCUCCCAAGCCCAGUGCUCUUUACUGUAAAAAACAAUGCCUAUUGGUCACUGCCCAGACCAGAAAGAAAUAAAACCCAGGCACUCAGGGUCUUCACAAUAAAAGUGCUGCAGUCAAGAUGAGUAUAUGAGCUGCAAUAUAUGGAGUAGAAAAUUGAUUUUACUCAGAAACAUGCCAACCACAGUUGUUUCCUGAGACAUUGUUCAAACAUGUCUCCCUUAGAAGCAACUCAAUGUGUUUCCCCGCAAUGAUAUUUCAAAAUAACAGCAUUAAAGGAAAAUAAUCUCACGGCCGCCACAUAUAAAACAAUUUUUAAAAAGAAUCCUGCUCACUAAAUAGGAGUUCACUGACAUUUUAUUCUGUGAGUUAGAGUUUUUAAAAGUUGGUCACCCAGAAUACUUCACAUCUGUCAUGAGUGUUAUAGAUUCCUAUACAUGGGCCAGGCCAAGAUUUGUGUGAGUGGUUGUGAUCCCUUCCCAAAAGCGGUUGGGAGAGUUAUGUCCUAUGGUUUUUGGAACAUCUCCAUGCAGGCUCUGCCAGAGAAGGGUUUUUAUCACUUGCUUCUCACAGAAUAGGGAGCUCAGCCAAAUACACGUGACUGACCAGAGCUUACCCAUUAUUACCUGAAAUCAAUUGGGAUAAAUGUGUUCUACCCUUAGCUGAGUUAAUUGGUACAAUUUCUCUCCAGAAUCUUUCCAAUGAACUGCACACAAGCUGCAUUUUUAACAAGCCAAUGUCUGCAGAAAGAAUAGAUCACUUAACAUGACCCAGAGCUAAAAGGGCCUUGAGGUAUGGUGGAGUCUAACCAGUCAGAUCAGAGGAAUGUCUACACACCUUCUAAAUUCUCUAGAAGAUGCCACCUCCUUGUACAGAAGACUUUCCUUCCUCUCUCCCUCUUUUCCGCUCUCUCUCCCUCCCUCUUUUCCUUCCUUACAUCCUUCCUUCCACAAGCAUUCACUGACUGCCCACUGUAUGUGAGAUAUCCUGCUAUGCUCAGGACUCAACACCGGUAUCCAUGAUGUUACAGGCUUGCGGAGAAAACCCACACUAAACAAGACUUACAAAUGUGAUGAAGGUAAAGAAGAAGUGAUCAGUACUAUGGGGGGCGAGGAGGGGUUGGGGCUUAACUUAGCCUUGUGUGUAUUUAUGCACAGGGAUGGAAUAAGGGUUGGUCAGGGAUGGCUUUCCUAAGAAAGUGAUGUCUGAGUUGAAUCAUAGGAUAACUGGACAUCAGCCAGGUGAAGAGAAGAAAAGGGGUUGGUACAGAAAGAUCCUGCUGGAUGAUCUAACAUUCAAGGUAUUAGAGAAAGUCAGUAUGACUGGUGCACUGAGAGAGGCGUGGCAUAAACCCAGCCUAGAAAAUGUUAGCCUAAGGACUACAGAAGUCCUCAAAGUGCGAUCAGCCUUACCACUCCAUAAGGUCAUUCAGCUCUGCUCCCUUAUGGUAAAUGACGUGAGCAUUGCCCUGACGAGUCCUUCUCUGCUCGCCAUAAUUGAAUAUGAUGGCCAGUCAAAUGGAUUAAAGAAAAAUAACUGACUUAUUCAUCUUUCUAUACUCUUGGCUACUUAGGAUAGCUCGAAGCAGUUUAAUUAUUUACAUUUAUAUUUAUUUAUAUUUAUAUCUUAACUAUAUCCACAGCAAUUUUUAAGCACUGAGCUACAGUUUAUGACAUGCUAAAAAGAAGGGUAAAAACCUGACCAGUUAGAUUUUUGGGAAAUUCUGAUUAUGAGUAAAUAUUUAAAGUCAAAAUGGCUUAUAACUUAAAGAAUAGAAUUUUUUUUUUUUUUACAUCAACUUCAGGCUUGUUUUUCUCCCUAUUUUAAUAUUAUAUGAGAUUUUUUUGUAGUCUGUACAAGAAACUUAACAAUUUUUUUUAAAAAGUGUAUGACACACAUCUUCUGUAAUGUAUAUUUGCAUUUCUUUCAUUGAAUCAUAUUCAUUUUUGUGUUAUGAAUUGAAUUGUGUCUCCCAGAAAGAUAUGCUGCUGAAGCCUUAAUCCCUGUAUCAAUGAACAUGACCUUGUUUGGAAAUAGGAUUUUUCUUUCAUUAUCAGGUAUCAGUUACGUUGAAUGAGGUCAUACCAGAGUAGGAUGGGUCACAUACAGGGAUAAGAUACCAUGUAAGGAUCCAUCUAUAACCCAAGAAACACCCAGGCCUAUGAGCAAUUUAAAGAGACAAAGAAGGAUCUUCCCCUAGAGAAGAUAGAGUAUUGCCCUGCUAAUGCCCUGAAUUCAAACUUCUAGCCUCCAGAACUGUGAGACAAUAAAUUCCUGAUUUUGAAAGCCACCUCAUUUGUGGUAUUUUGUUAUGGCAGCCCUAGGAAACUAAACCAACCAACCAACCAACCCCGUUGUUGUUGAGCUGAUCCCAACUUAUAGCGACCCUAUAGGACAGAGUAGAACUGUCCCGUAGGAUUUUCAAGGAACAGCUGGUGGAUUUAAACUGCCAACCUUUUGGUUAGCAGCUGAAUGCUUAAGAAACUUUGUAAAAGUAAAUAUCAUGUGUCAGUGCUAGAAGCAGAGAAAUGUGUGACGUCCUGCCUGGUGCCCACCACCAUAGAAGGGGCAUAUCGUAGGAGCAAACCUCUGACUAUGAAUAUACAUCAAGUUGAAGUCACAUUGUUUAGUGCCUUCAACAAAGCCUUCACUGAACAAAGCCUUCACUUACACUGUGGAUGAUUUCCCUUCCAGAAGUUAGAGUUGCCAUUAAAUUCAAGAGAUCAUAAAAUCAAGCAGAACCAAACAUGAUAGAAAAAGUAUUCAACUAAGAUUAACCAGUUGUUGUUGAGUUGGCUCUGACUUUUCGCAGCCCCAUGUGUGUCAGAGUAGAACUGGCCUUUACAGCAUAGUCACUGAUUUUUCAGUAUUAGAUCACCAGGCCUCUGGGUGGACACAGACUGUCAAUCUUUUAGUUAGCAGCUGAUCAUGUUAAGGCUUUCACCACUCAGUGACUCUCGACUAAGAUUAAAAAAAAUUACUUGGUGAAUAUUUUUGAGUGGUAAUUGCCAAUUUUUUUUUUUAUGAGCUUUUAAAUCUUUAAUAGUUAAGAAAUUAGGAAAUGCUAACAAAUAGUCACCGAAAAACAUCUAUAAAGCAACUCUUGACUUUUAUCUUUUUAAAUUGUUUCAUCUAUGUACCACUUGUGAAAUUCCUUUACAGAUAAUUCUAAAGUGUUACCGAACCCAGAAAUGUGGGUCCUUGUCUGGUGCUCUCAGACCCACCAAUAAUCUGGACACCGGUCUUUGAGAAAGAGGAAAUAAUUUAUUGCAAUGCGCAAAGCAAGGAGCUGGGAGAAAGUUCCUCAGAUCCGACUCCCCAAGCUAUGGGAAAGCAGGGUUUAUAUGUGAUUUGGGAAGCAAGAUGGCAGCCGUUCAGGCAUACUAGGGUGGGAAAAUUCUAGAACGGGGCUAGGAAACAGGAGGUGACAUAGUUCUUGUCAGGCCUCUCACUUCAGAAUAGGGUCCCGGUGAUGAUUUUCCUUUUGAUUUGUUUUUACCUGUUGCUGCGUCCUCUGUUGAGGUUAAUUAACAGUUGCAGCUGGCCUUUCUACACAUGUGGGGCAGGCCAAAUCUGGCUUGGGCUAGUUUAAGGACUAGGCUAGGGUCACAUUACAAAAGGACUUUCACUGUUUAGUUGCAUUGAGAUUUUGUAUGAGGAUAUUGUUUUGGUGGGUACUGUAUGAAGUACACUUUGAAACAGAGAGCCAGCAUCUGUUCUUAGAAAUAUUUGAUGAUCCAGUUUUUUUUCUUUUGUUGUAGUUGGUGAUGGUGGUGAUGUGGACUGAGUUAGCUUGACCAGAGAUAACCUGCAAGUAUCUGUUCACCCACUCUAGUGUGUGGAGUGAAUUCUGCUGUCCUGGGAGGUGACUGGGCCUAGGGCAAUCCUUCAAGUCCCUAUGAGGCACAUUUGCUGCUUCUAGCAACUUCUGCUGCACCAUCUGUUCCCCAGUUAAUGACUUCCUUUUCCUAUCUGGGGUCUGGAAAGGAAACUGUGUAUUGUGGAGGAACAGGGUGAACGUUUAACAGAAAGUUACAUGUCUUAAGUAUUCCUCACUAAUAUAUAGAAUCCUUAUUACCUGUCUCACCUGAAUAUUUUAAUACAGAAAGUCCUUCACAAGGCUGUUCUUCUCUUGCCACAAAAUCAUUGGCUUAUUCCCUGGGUAAUUCUAAACUUGAAUAGUUACAAGGUUUCUUCUACCUAAUAAAUUCCUCUAUUAACAGCAGGAAAAUAUAAUUUCUAAUUCUGCCAAUUAUAAUUUCACAGGAGCUGCACAAACAUUAUAUUUGCAAUAUAUCAAUUAAAAUAAUUCAAUAAGCAAAUUAGUAAUAAAAAACAGAAAUGCUAUAGUAUUACCUUCAAUAACUACUCAAAAACAUUUUAGAAAAGCCUAUUUACAGUCAAUUAAAAUAAUUACAAUCUAGGUAGUAAAGCAGGUUUUUUUUGUGUGUGUUAUGAGCUCAAGUAAUUGUGUGUACCUGAUAAUAAAAUUAUAAUUAUUCAAAAAUAUUUCAGAGCUUACCAUAUAAUUGGGGAAAUAAGGAAAGCACAAUAAAAGCAAUAUCUUCAAAAACACACAUAAAUGAACACAAAAUUCUACAAUAUUAAUCACAUUCAAAAAGACUGAAGAAAUGCAGCAUAAUUUAAUUUAAAUCAGGCACUGUCAGUUGAAGGAAAUUUCAUGAAAUUAAUGACAGCUUUUUGAAUAAUAAUUCAAACUGGUUUUGUUCAUUCAGCAUGGACUGACCAAGCAUCUUGUAUGUGUCAGGCAUUUUGCUUACUUCUGGGCGGGCAAUGCUAACAAGUACUGGCAAGCCCUCUGCAUCAAGGUACUUUCAGUGGUAGGGAAGGCUGGCCACUGAACACAACAGCAACAUAGAGGUACAUGAACUGAAAAGGAAAGAAAGGCCAUGGAAGCACAGAGAAAGGGGGCAACGGCUGUGUCAAGUGGGACUUCCCUGAGGAAGUGAAGUAUGAGUCUUAAAAGAUGAGUUGAAGUUACACAGGUAAAGAGGGAGACGGGAGACAGAGACAGCUAAAGAGAGGACAAAGCAUUCAAGCAACAGCAAAGCAUUUGUCUUCCUUAGAGUGCACGUAGUGAGGAGGGAUAAGAUAAACAGGCACAAGAUCUAGGAGAGCCUUAACAUCCUCCUUAAGGGGUUUGGGCUUUAUUUGUACUUCGGUGAAAAGUCACUGAGAAGUCCCGGAUGGUACAACCAGUUAGGCGCUCAGCUAACUGAAAGGUUGGUGGUUCAAACUCACCCAGAGGUGCCUUGGAAGACGGGCCUGGCGAUCUGCUUCCCAAAGGUCACAGCCUUGAAAACCUUAUGGAACUGUUCUCUGCACACAUGGGGUCACCAUGAGUCAGAAUCAACUCAACAGCAGUUAACAACAGGUUACUCAGAUUUUAAACAAGGGCAUGGCAUGGAGAGAUUUAUUUUAGAAAGAUCAUUUUAGAAACUACUCAGAAUGUAGGUAUUUUGUGAAGGUCCUUUGGUGUAUAUUAACCAUUGGUGUCACCCAAAGACUCCAUAUACUGAUUCUAGAAUUGUCAGACAAAAACUGUGGAAACACAUGUACACAUACAGGGUAAUUACACUGUAAUAUGAAGAUAGAGUGGAAGUGUUGAUGAACCAGGAAUCAGGGUAGUGGCCACAAUUACUUUCUAUUUGAUAUUAAAAUUAAGUUGCUGCUAAUCCACCAUGAAUGUAGAACUAACACAAAAUACAGGUUUUUAUUUAAACGUACAGAACAGAACGUAGGUCAUCCAGCCCACUGAGAACCAGGAGAGAGGAGGAGGACAGACCUUCACCUUUUAUUGUUCUGCAUUGCUAGAAUUAGAAUUCAAACUUAAGCCUCACUUCUAGCCGAGUGGCAGUUCAGUAGGAAACUUACCGAGGUGGAAGAGGGAAUGGGGAGGAGUCAAAAGGCAAAGAAGGGUCAGGGGAAUUGUCAAAAUGUUGAACCACCAUGUAAAGAAGACCAAGGUCAGAUCAGCCACCCUUAUUUUCCCAUUUACUCCUUUUUCCCAAAACCCACCUCUGCCACCCUGAGCCUGGCAUCAUCUGCCACCUGGAGAUACAUUACUGUCCUCUUCUCCUAGCAGAAAUGUAGGCAAAGGUGUCUACUGGUAAUGGCUGCACGACCUUGCAAAUGUGGAGACAACAAUUCAUGUAUCCAUGACAAUUUCAAGGCUGGUAUGAAAGAAAGGUAUGUCAAUGAGAGAAAUUACUUGUGGACAAGCAGGUCUUUUAUUCUCUUCAAUAUCCCACUACCAAGGUUAUUGUUAGUUGUCAUUGAGUCAGCUUCAACUCAGGGCAACCCCAUGUACAACAGAACAAAGCUUUGCCUACUCCUGUGCCAUCUUCACUAUUGUUGGAAUGCUUGAGUUCAUUGUUGCAGCCAUUGUGUAUUUUGAGUGCCUUCCAACCUAGGGGACUCAUCUUCCGGCACUAUUUAGGACAAUAUUCUGUUGUGAUCCAUUGGGUUUUCAUUGGCUCACUCUGGGAAGUAGAUCACCAGGCCUUUCUUCCUAGUUUGUCUUAAUGUGGAAGCUCCACUGAAACCUGCCUACAUGAGAUGACACUGCUGGCAUUUUAAAUUCCAGUGGCAGAACUUCUAGCAUUAUAGCAACACACAAGCCACCAUGGUACAACAAACUUACAGGUGGUAGACUACCAAGGUAGCACCCCGUUUUGUCUAUCACUCAACUAAUCCUGAGAGACAGUACAAAAUAUGAAUUCAAUUGUUACUUAACCUCUCUAAGUCUCUUUCUUUAUCUAUAAAGCAAGAAUGGAAAUGGCACCAACUUCACAGGGCUGUGUGAGAAUUAAAUGAGAUAAACUGCUUAGAACAAUAUCUAGCACAUGAUGCAGUCUCAGUAUAUAUUAGCAGUUUUGAUCAUCGAUCUCAUCAUGAUCCAGCCAGUGUUCUGAGCUAUCUCUACAUAUAAGAAAGACCUCUGUGGAAAAGUGCUACCAUAAUAUGGCCCAAUGAUUGGUACCCGUUCAUGAACUGUUUGUUACUAGCCCACCAAACUUAAUUUUAAUAUCAAAUGUAAGCAUUUAAAAGCAUUUGUAGCAGUUUGACAUUGCUACAACUACGCGCACGAUGGAUCAUCUCACUGAACAGGAUGUAUAAACUAGUUUGCGUGUUUUCAGAUUCACAUGGUGAGCUGCCUGUGCCUCAAGCUACAUGCAGUCCAUAUGCAGUAGAAACGUGUUGUAAUAUACAACAUUUUAAGGAAUGUUAGGGUCACUAUGAGUCAAAAUAGACUUGACAGCAAGGGUUGUUUUUUUUUUUUUCCUUGGUUUUUGUCAACUGUGACACAAAAGUAUGUAAAUAUCUGAGAAUAUAUGAGCACUUAUCUUUAUAAAUUUGUGUUUACAAUCUCUUUAAGUUUUGAUCAAGCCUAUUUUAUAAUUUAUUAAGAUUACUUUCUAAAUUAGGAAAAUAAAAUUUCUAUUAUUUAUUUUAACCCUAAUAGCAUUUUUACUGAACUAAUUUUGACAAGAUGCAAUUUUUUGAAUGUGCCGAUAGUAGUUAUCAAAUAUGUACAAUGGAAAUGAUUCCAAAGAAACGAGGGCAAAAGAAAGUCCUAUGAAUUCUACUUAAAAUUAUGAUCACUCAUAUGUUGAAUUUAUCCCUAACUGAUGGUGAAGUGCUAAAACCAUACUGUAUAAUUUGCAGAGGUGUUUUAGCUAAUGAAUUAGUAAAAUUAUCAAAGCUUAUGUAUCAUUUACACACAAACCAUAAGGGAUUAAAUUCAGAAUGAAAAUAACUUUUUUUAAAUUAUAUAUUACUGCAUUUAUGGUGAAAAUAUACACAGCAAAACACCCCUAUUCAACAAUUUCUACCAUAAUGUUCAGUGACAGUGGUUACAUUCUUCACAUUGCGUCAACAUUCUCAUUAUUUCUGUUCCAGUCGUUUCACUACCAUUAACUCAGUCUCACUGUCCCCCAAACUUCUUAUUUAUGCUUUGUAGUAACUGUUGUCCCUUUGGUCUCAUACAGUUGAUUGUUCUAAGGGGCAUCUUGUUCAGGGGUGUUAUUGUUUAUUUUAUAGGCCUGUCUAUUGUUUGGUUUGAAAGGUGAUCUCCAGGAGUGGUUUUAGUCCCACGUUAGAAGGGUGUCUAGGGCUAUAGCCUCGGUUGUUCUUCCGAUCUCUAUUCGGCCAGUAAGUCUGGUCUUUUUUAUAAAUUUGGAUUUUGUUCUACAUUUUUCUCCUAUUCUAACCAGGAACUUCUAUUGCAUUCCUGGUCAGAGUGGUCAGCAGUGGUAGCCAGGCACCACCUAUUUCCUCUGGUUUCAGUUUAGUGGAAGCCGUGGUUCAUGUGAACCAUUAGUCCUUUGGACUAAUUGCUUCCUUGAGUCUUUCAUUUUCUUUACUGUCCUUUGCUCCAGAUGAGAAGAGACCAAUAGCUGUACCCUAGAUGUUUGCUCACAUAGGUUCCAUAGUUUCCUAAGACCCUAGAUGCUACUCACUACAGUAGAAUACAGAAAUUAUCUCUAUGAACUAUAUUAUGCCAAUUGACCUAGAUGUCCCUGAAGACUAUGGUCCUUAGCCUUUAAUUCCAGUGUAGCUGUACAGUAUGUUUUGAAACAGGAAGUGUGAGGCUUCCUACAUUGUUCUUCUUCAAAAUCACCUUGGCUAUUUGGGGCCCAAAAUAACUUUUGAAAGAAAAAGCAUUUAGUUGAAAAACAGGUGUUCAAUAUUUUACAUAUGAACAUUAGUGUUUCAUGGAUCUAUAUGAAGUAGCACUUUGGGUUGCUAAGGCUAAAACACAAACAACUGCCAAGACAUUAAUCGAUGACUGAACCAAAAAACCAAACCCAUUGCUGUUGAGUCGAUUUCAACUCACAGCAACCCUAUAGGACAGAGCAGAUUUGCCCCAUAGGGUUUUCAAAGUUGUAAAUUUUUACAGAAGUGGACUGCCACAUCUUUUUCCUGCAGACCUUUUGGUUAGCAGCUGAGCGCUUUAACCAUUGUGCCACCAGAGGUCAUCAGUGAAUGACUACAAAGAUAUUUGCUUGGAAAGGCUCAGUGACUCUGCGAUAAAGAAAGAUGUUCAAGCAUCACUCUAAUGAUACCAUAGCUCUGUAAUUUCUGAAACUGCCUAAUGAUAUGGAAGACCAAUUCAUUAAAAACAGAAAGAUAGAAUCAGUUUUUCAUUGUAAAUUGAGUGUGCAGAAAUUGCUCAUGUGUAUUUCUUUUGGUAUAUGUGCAAUCUGAACAUGCAGAACAUUUAAAGGAGGAAUUGUCUCUGCUUUCAUUUAAAUUAUAUUUUCAGCUUCUUUGCUGACAAACACAACUAGCUCUGAAUUGUAUAAAAUUGUGAAGGAUUAUACUGUCAAUGAAUGUGGUUAGCAGUUUAAGUCUUGUAUUGGGGUAUGUUCUGAUGGUACAGUUGCAAUGACAGGAAGACAUUCUUUUUGUAGUUGCCUAGAUUAAGUGCUGUGUCAGAAUCAAUGCAAUGGUUCCCUCAUUGAGCAAGUCUUGACAAAAAAAAUGUCAGCUGAAUUAAACAAUGCUUAGUGACUUUUUUUUUUUUUUUAAUUAUGUAAGGGCUAAUGUGCUGGAGGUGGUGGCUUGCAUCAGUUCAUGAGAACUGAUUGUUAGCAACAUUUCCAAAUGUUGUGUUCAGUGACUUCACAUUGGUAGGCUGACAUUGCGUGGGUAUAUUUACCUCAAGGAAACAGCCAAUGCUACAAAUCAGGGCUUCUUUGUUUGCCUUACCCAAGAACUAGUUGUGAUCAUUAACAGCUAUGGUCAGUAUUGAUUCUUCUUAAUUUCUUAGUGCUGCUAUAACAGGAAUACUACAAGUGUGCAGCUUAAAGGAACAGAAACUUAUCUUCUCACAGUUAGGAGACUAGAAGUCCAAAUGCAGAGUGCCAGCUCUAGGAGAAGGCUCAUUCUGUCUGCUCUGGGAGAAAACCCUUGUCUUAGUUUCUCUAGUAUUUUUCUUGGUAUUUGUUGGAGAACUUCACCUGGCAUCUAUUUAUCCCCCAUUCUUGCUUACUUUCUUCUGUUCCUAAUCUGCUCUUUUUAUAUUUAAAAAGUGAUUGGCUUAAAAUACACUCUACACUGAUAUGGCCUCGUUAGCACAACAAAGAAAACCAUAUUCACAAAGGUGAUUACAUUCACAGGUAUAUUAAAAAAAAAAAAAACCUGUUGCCAUCCAGCUGAUUCCAACUUAUAGCGACCCUAUAGAACAGAGUAGAACUGCCCCAUAAGGUUUCCAAAGAGCAGCUAUUGGAUUCUAGCUGCCGGCCUUUUGCUUAGGAGCCAGAGCUCACCUUAUCUCUUAACCACUGUGGCAACAGGGCUCUUUCAUUUACAAUACAGAUUUUGGGGGAACACAAUUCAAUCCAUAACAUGAGGGGAGAAGUUAUAUCAAGAAUGUUUGAAUUACAGAGCAAAUUCUUAGUGUUUCUUCAGGAAAUGAAACCAAGUUGGUCUCAAUAUUUAAAAAUAUGACUAUAAAAGUCUGACUUGUUCUUUUGACCUAUAUCUUUGGUAGUGUUAAUGAUCUUCAUAAUUACAUGUAAAGAAAUAAUUUAAUAUUUCUUUCCAAUUGUUGUUGUUGUUGGGUGCCACUGCGUCAGUUCCAACUCAUAGCAACCCUAAGUACAACAGAACAAAACACAGCCUAGUUCUGCACCAUCCUCACCAUCAUGCUAUGCUUGAGCCCAUUGUUGCAGCCACUGUGUCAAUCCAUCUUGUUUAGGGUCUUCUUUUUUUUUUUGCUGAUCCUCUACUUUACCAAGUAUAAUGUCCUUCUCCAGGGACUGGUCCCUCCUGAUAACAUCUCCAAAGUACGUGAGAUGAAGUCUUGCCAUCCUUGCUUUUAAGGAGCAUUCUGGCUGUACUUCUUUCAAGACUGAUUUGUUAAUUCUUUUGGCAGUCCAUGGUAUAUUCAAUAUUCUUCACCAACACCACAACUCAAAGGUGUCAAUUCUUCCUCAUUUUUCCUUAUUCAUUGUCCAGCUUCCACAUGCAUAUGAGGCAAUUGAAAACAUCAUGGCUUGGGUCCAGUACACCUUUGUCCUUAAAGUGGUAUCUUUGCUUUUAAACACUUUAAAGAGGUCAUUUGCAGCAAAUUUGCCCAAUGCAAUGCAUCUUUUGAUUUCUUGACUGCUGCUUCCAUGAGUGUUGAUUGUGGACCCAAGUAAAAUGAACUCCUUAACAACUUCAAUCUGUUCUCCAUUUAUCAUGAUGUAGUUUAUUGGUCCAUUUGUGAGGAUUUUUGUUUUCUUUUUGUUGAGGUAUAAUCCAUACUGAAAGCUGUUGUCUUUGAUCUUUAUCUAUAAGUGCUUUAAGCCCUCUUCACUUUAAGCAAGCAAGGCUGUUUCAGCUGCCUAAGGCAUGUUAUUAAAGAGUCUUCCUCCAAUCCUGAUGCCCUGUUCAUCAUAUAAGUCGGGCUUCUCAGAUUAUUUUGUCAGCAUACAGAUUGAAUAAGUAUGGUGAAAGGAUACAACCCUGAUGCACACCUUUCCUGACUUUAAACCACGUAGUAUCCCAUUGCUCUGUUCAAAUGACUGCCUCUUGAUCUAUGUACAGGUUCCUCACGAGCACAAUUAAGUGUUCUGGAAUUCCUGUUCUUUGCAAUGUUAUUCUUAAUUUGUUACAAUCCACAUGGUUGAAUGCCUUUGCAUAGUCAACAAAACACAGGUAAACAUCUUUCUGGUAUUCUCAGCUUUCAGCCAGGAUCUAUCUGACACCAUCCAUGAUAUAUAUCCCUUUUUCUACAUUCUCUUCUGAAUCUGGUUUGAAUUUCUGACAGCUCCCUGUUGAUGUAUUGUUGCAGGUGCUUUUGAACGAUCUUCAGCAAAAUUUUCUUGUGUGUGAUAUUAAUGAUCUUGUUCGAUAAUUUCCUCAUUCAGUGGGAUCAUCUUUCUUAGCAAUAGGAAUAAAUAUGGAUCUCUUCUAGGUUGGCCAGGUAGAUGUCUUCUAAUUUCAUUCUCACUGUGGUCUUCCAUUAUUUAAAAAAUUAAAUAAAUGAAAAUUAUUUAAAAUUGUGUCUCUUCUAUUUCUCUUCAGUUUCCUUUGUCUCCUUAAGUUAUAGCACUAUCUGACAUACCAUAUAAUUACAAUCGAUUCUUUGCAUCCAUGGUUCUAUCAAGUUGCCAUGAACACUGACUGAACUAGUGAAAGCAAACCAGCCUUCUUUCACCUCAGAUGGGAAUACGUGCAUUGGGUGGCUCAAAUUUUUCACUGUUCUGUACAUAGGUAUGUCUACCAAUGACUAAAAAAGUGUCACAAGCAUUGCUUUGGGGCUUAAAAUAAAUUGAAGCAAGUAUAUGAAUUCACAAAUAUGGAGCCCAUGAAUAAUGAGGACCAACUGUAUAUUUUCUUUCUCCUUCCAGUAAAAUGGAAGCUUCACAUAGUCAGAGAUUUUUAUCUUUGUUUACCUAUAUAAUCCCAGAAUUUAGAAUGGUUUUUGGCUUAUACUUGGUGCUACUUAUAUAUUUGCUGAAGUAAUUAAUAAAUCAAUGGAUAAAAGAUGCUAUAGAGUGGUUUGUAUGCAAGAAUUCACUAGAGAGGAUACAACAAUCAGGAGUGUGCUGGAGGUGGCUCAUACCAGCUGGGGAGAGCCCAUUGUUAGGAUCUUUUCCCAGCUUUCAUUCAGUGAUUUCCUGUUGGUAGUUGAAACUGACCAUGCUGCAACACUAUCAUGGGCAAACACUACCAAUCAGGGCUUUGAUGGUUUCUUGUUUCAUGUUUUUGCUUUCAAGAGCUGCUUGUAAAAAAUUUACCAGACUACCACCAUCUAUAAUAUGCUAUGACAUUCUGUCUGAAAUUCAGGAUUAGUGAUGAACUUGUGACCUGUUAGGUGAGCUAAAGGUGAUUUGAAUGAUUAUUGUUUAAUUCUGAAAUGUCUGUAAUAAAAAUUAAAGCUAUACUUUUCUGAAAUUAACAGCUAUUCUUUCCUGAAAGCUAUUGUUUCAGUGUUUAUACAUUUGUCUUACUUUACUUUUUUUUCUCAAGAAGAGAUAAUUGCAUGCUGAGAAGCAUAAAAAAAUUAAAGACCAAAAAAAAAAAAAACUGACCAAAAUCACACUCCUAGCCUAAUAAACAUUAAUUUAAAGCAACAGAUUUAUAGCCUUUACCCACACCUAUUAAAAUUUCAGAACAAUAAUUGCAGCUUUAUGCGUUCGAAUCAUUCAUGUGCAUUUAUGUAUGUUUUAGACUUCUUAUUUUUGAGUUGUAGUUAAAGAUAAAGUGAUGAAUUGUAUCUGGAACUUAGUAAAUCAUUCUAAUAAUAAAAGAAAAUGAACUCAGAGAUUCCAUGUAUCUGUAUGGUAUAUUGUAUUUUACAUUUCAUAUAAUCCAAUGAGAAUAUUGUCAUUUGAGUCACUGAAGAACAAAUCUAAAAUCCUUCUACAUUAGCUGAUUCAAAACUUGUGCAUUCUUUCAUUCGAUAAAUACUGACAUCCUGUUGUUGUUGUUAGGUGCCUUCAAGUCUGUUCCGACUCAUAGCAACCCUAUGUGCAAUAGUAUAAAACACUGCCCUGUCCUGUGCCAUCCUCAAAAUUGUUGUUGUGCUUGAGCCCAUUGUUGCAGCCAUGGGCUGCAACAUCCAUCUCGUUGAAGGUCUUCCAAUAUUUGCUGCCCUUCUAUUAACAAGCAUAAUGUCCUUAUCCAGGGACUGAACCCUCGUAAUAACAUGUCCAAGGUCUGUGAGACUUAGCCUCACCACCCUUGCCUCUAAGGAGUAUUCUGGCUGUACCUCUUCCAAGACAGAUUUGUUUGUUCUCUUGGCAGUCCAUGGCAUAUGCAGUAUUCUUCUCCAACACCAUAAUUCAAAAAUGUCAAUUCUUCUUCAGUCUUCCUUAUUCAUUGUCCAGCAUUCACUUGCAUAUGAGGAGACUGAAAACACUAUAGCUUGAGUCAGGCGCACCUUAGUCUUCAAGGUUACAUCUUUGCUUUUCAAAAUGUUGAAGAUGUCUUUUGCAGCAGAUUUGCUCAAUGCAAUGUGUCUUUUGAUUUCUUGACUGCUGCUUCCAUGGCUGUUGAUUGUGGAUCCAAGUAAAAUGAAAUCCUUGACAGCUUCAAUCUUUUCUCCAUUUAUCACGAUAUUGCUUAUUGGUCCAUUGUGAAGAUAUUUGUUUUCUUUAUGUUGAGGUGUAGUCCAUACUGAAAACUGGACUCUUUGAUCUUAUCAGUAAAUGCUUCAAGUCCUCUUCAUUUCCAGCAAGCAAGCUUGUGUCAUCUGCACAACACAGGUUGUUAAUGAGUCUUCCUCCAAUCCUAAUGCCCCGUUCUUCAUAUAGUCCAGAUUCUCGAUUUGCUCAGCAUACAGAUUGAAUAAGUAUGAUUAAAGGAUAUGACCCUGAUGCAUGCCUUUCCUGAAUUUAAACCACGAGGUAUCCCCUUGUUCUGUUUCAAAGACUGUCUCUUGAUCUAUGUAUAGGUUCCUCAUGAGCACAAUUAAGUGUUCUGGAAUUCCUGUUCUUGACAAUGUUAUCCAUAAUUUGUUAUGAUCCACACAGUCAAAUGCCUUUGCAUAGUCAAUAAAACACAGAUAAACAUCUUUCUGGUAUUUACUGCUUUCAGUCAGGAUCCAUCUGACAUCAGCAAUGAUAUCCCUUGUUCCACAUCCUGAAUCCAGCCUGAAUUUCUGGGACCUCCCUGUCAAUGUACUGCUGUAGGCACUUUUAAAUGACCUUCAGUAAAAUUUUACCUGUGUAUGAUAUUAAUGGUAUUGUUUGAUAAUUUCUGCAUUUGGAUGGGCCACCUUUCUUGGGAAUAGGCAUAAAUAUGAAUCUCUUUCAGUUGGUUGGCCAGGUAGCUGUUUUCCAAAUUUCUUGGCAUAGAAGAAUGAGCACUUCCAGCACUGCAUCGCUUUGCUGAAAUAUCUCAAUUGGUAUUCUGUCAAUUCCUGGAGCCUUGUUUUCACCAAUGACUUCAGUGCAGCUUGGACUUCUUCCCUUCAGUACCGUCGGUUCCUGAUCAUAUGCUACCUCCUGAAAUGGUUGAACAUCGACCAAUUCUUUUUGGUAUAGUGACUGUGGGUAUUCCUUCCAUCUUUUUUUUACAUAUAUAAUUUUUAUUGUGCUUUAAGUGAAAGUUUACAAAUCAAGUCACUCUCUCACACAAAAACCCAUAUAUACCUUGCUUUUUUAUCACACUCCCAAUUACUCUCCCCCUAAUGAGACAGCCCUCUCUCUCCCUCCACUCUCUUUUUUCGUGUCCAUUUCGCCAGCUUCUAACCCUCUGCACCCUCUCAUCUCCUCUGCAGGCAGGAGAUGCCAACAUAGUCUCAAGUGUCCACCUCAUCCAAGAAGCUCACUCCUCACCAGCAUCCCUCUCCAACCCAUUGUCCAGUCCAAUCUGUGUCUGAAGAGUUGGCUUCAGGACCUUCCAUCUUUCUUUGAUGCUUCAUGCAUCAUUUAAUCUCCUCCCAUAGAAUCCUUCAAUAUUGUAACUUGAGGCUUAAAUUUUUUCUUCAGUUCUUUCAGCUUGAGAAGUGCUGAGCAUGUUUUUCCCUUUUGGUUUUCUAUCUCCUGGUCUUUGCAUAUGUCAUCAUAAUACUUUAAUUUGUCUUCUUGAGCUACCCUUUGAAAUAUCCUGUUUAGCUCUGAUGUCCUACUGAGUGCCAACCACUGCUUCGGAUCCUGAGAAUAUAGCAAUGAAGGUGGUACAAAUGGUUAAGUGCUUAGCUAUUAACUGAAAGGUUGGUGGUUCAAAUUUACCCAGAGUUGCUUCAGAAGAAAGGUCUGGCAAUCUAGUUUCAAAAGGUCACAGCCAUUAAAAAUCCUAAGAAGAAAUUCUACUCUGACCCACACGGAGUCAUCAUGAGUGGGAAUUGACUGUACAGCAACUGGUUUGGUUUUGGUUUUGGUUCCUGUUUUCAUUUAAAUUCAGAGGUUGGGCUUCUGCUUCCAGCCAAGAUGGAGUAACAGGGACGGAUUUAUUCUCUUGUCUUAAACAACUGUCUUAGGCUGGAUUUUCUAGAGGAGCAAAACCAAUGAAAUGUAUAUAUACAAAUAUACAGAAAACCAAAAACCAAACCCGUUGCUGUCAAGUUGAUUCUGAUUCAUAGCAACACUAUACAUACAGAGAGAUUUAAUUCAAGGAAAUGGCUCACACAGUUGUGGAGGCUGGCAAGUCCCAAAUCCGUGGGUCAGACAUCAGGAUGGAGGCUUCUCUUGACUCACAUGUUUGCAGGGGUUGACAAACCCAAAAUCUGAAGGUCAAUGAGGCAGACUGCUGGCUCAUAUCCCAAGUACCAGAGGUCAGGUGAUGACGAGCCGGAUGCAGGAGAUCCAGAGUCAGAGUGAGCCUUGCUAGAACAUGCAUUUACACACUGGAGGCAAGCCACACCCUCAGGGAAAAUUCCCUUUCAACUGAUUGGUUGCUCAUAGCAGAUCUCAUCAUUGAGGUGAUUAUAUCAGAUCUCUUCACGGAAAUGAUUGUAUUAUAUUACAUUAUGGAAGAGCAAUCAGUCCAAUGUCUUUCAAACCACUGAGAAUCAUCACUUAGCUAAGCUGACACUUAACAUUAACCAUCACAAGAGCUAAUAAACUUGACAAAAUAUAUAAAAUGGUGACUUUUAAGACAUUUCUUAUCAGACAAUUAAAGAUAGUGAUCUCUGAGAAGCAAAAAAACAAAUGAGAUGAUCCCUACAAUUACCUGAGCUUACUUCCUAGAGAAAGUUUCCAGGUCCUGGCACGAAAGGGUGUGGGGAGGCAGUAAGAAUACAGGCACAGCCCAGUGUAUUCCCUGAGGUAGGAACAUGGAGCUAGGAGUCUGGGGAAGUGAAAGGGGCCAGACUCCAUAGGGCAAAAUACUAGAGAAGAAAGAGCUGUAUGAGAGCCUACAGUGAGUCUCUCCCCCAGUAUUCAGUUGAGUAUUAGUCAGCCCAUGCCUGUGUGAAAACUUCCUAAAGGUGAGGAAGUAACCAUUCAAGAUAAUUUGAAGAAAUAGUACCUGUGGGUCACAUAGGGUCAGGAAUAGUAACUGUUCCCAAUAGCCAGAGUGAAGAGCUUCAUAUUUCAUGGGGCAUUGAUUAAAGUACUAAGAAGGGUGCUGCCUCAGUAAUGGAGAAAAAUUAGUUCUGGACAAAGCACAACUCCAGUCCUACCUAACAAAGCUUAAGAGCAAACUGCAAAAGGAAAAAAAAAAAAAAAAGUUUCUAAGUAAAUUAACCC